AUUGAACGCUGGCGGCAGGCCUAACACAUGCAAGUCGAACGAGUGGCGGACGGGUGAGUAAUGUCUGGGAAACUGCCUGAUGGAGGGGGAUAACUACUGGAAACGGUAGCUAAUACCGCAUACCAUCGGAUGUGCCCAGAUGGGAUUAGCUAGUAGGUGGGGUAAAGGCUCACCUAGGCGGCGAUCCCUAGCUGGUCUGAGAGGAUGACCGUCCACACUGUAACUGAGACACGCGCCCGACUCCUCCGGGAGGCAGCAGGGGGGAAUAUUGCACACUGGGCGCAAGCCUUAUGCAGCCAUGCCGCGUGUAUGAAAAGGGCCUUCGGGUUUUAAAGUACUUUCAGCAGGGAGGCGUUACCUACACCGGAAGCGCCGGCUAACUCCGUGCCAGCAGCCGCGGUAAUUC
rnacentral:rRNA from 1 species